CAGGUGUUCACUGGCACAGUUUCGGCUCACUACAUACUUGUCCUCCUGGACUAAAAACAUCCACCCAUCUCGACCUCCCAAGUAGCUGAAACCACAGGGACUCUUCAUAAUUAUGGACCAUGCUGACAAUCUGCAUGACAACGGAAAUAUUCAAACAAAACUGACCCAGUCUCUCUUUCCUGCUACCACGUGAAGAAGGUGUUUGCUUCCCCUUUGCCUUCCGCCAUGAUUCUAAGUUUCUUGAGGUCUCUCCAACCACGUAGAACUGUG